rnacentral:lncRNA from 1 species
AACCGCUUCAGAGAAACAGCCAGGCGGGAGCCAAGACUCCGGAAUCGUCCCUCAGGAUCCGCUCGAAGGAGCUCAGAACUGGAAACAUCUGGUGACAAUCGAAUCAGACCGCGAUUUUAGAAUAUGAUGAAGAGGAAAUGUUUGUUUAAGGGUCAGCCCACACCUGCGCGGCAGGUGUGAAGCUCGGGGAGCCGCGGCUUUGGAAGAACCGUCUCAUGGGCGCUCAGAUUGGAAUGUGAUGGCAUUGAGUGACUUCCAGAGUCCUGAUCUCAAGAGGCCCUGCAGUAUGCACCUUUGCCCUUUUGCUUCUCUGUCCUGAGACCAUGAUGGAAGGAAGUCAGUCUAACUUGCUGGAAGAUGAGAGGCCGCAUGGAGGAAAGCCAAGACCCCCAGCCCACUGCCAGCACCAACUGCCAGAUACGCCACUUCCCACCCUGCUUCUGAGCUCCUGAGAGGCUGUGGCCUAUUAGGAUCCUUCCACAGCAGCUCUGCCCAGGUCACCUCCAUCACCAGCCAGGCUGGCUGCUCUCUUCUCUG